UGGAAGUAAAAAGUCGUAACAAGGUCUCCGUAGGUGAACCUGCGGAGGGAUCAUUACAAGAACGCCCGGGCUUCGGCCUGGUUAUUCAUAACCCUUUGUUGUCCGACUCUGUUGCCUCCGGGGCGACCCUGCCUUCGGGCGGGGGCUCCGGGUGGACACUUCAAACUCUUGCGUAACUUUGCAGUCUGAGUAAACUUAAUUAAUAAAUUAAAACUUUUAACAACGGAUCUCUUGGUUCUGGCAUCGAUGAAGAACGCAGCGAAAUGCGAUAAGUAAUGUGAAUUGCAGAAUUCAGUGAAUCAUCGAAUCUUUGAACGCACAUUGCGCCCCCUGGUAUUCCGGGGGGCAUGCCUGUUCGAGCGUCAUUUCACCACUCAAGCCUCGCUUGGUAUUGGGCAACGCGGUCCGCCGCGUGCCUCAAAUCGUCCGGCUGGGUCUUCUGUCCCCUAAGCGUUGUGGAAACUAUUCGCUAAAGGGUGUUCGGGAGGCUACGCCGUAAAACAACCCCAUUUCUAAGGUUGACCUCGGAUCAGGUAGGGAUACCCGCUGAACUUAAGCAUAUCAAUAA
rnacentral:misc_RNA from 1 species